rnacentral:rRNA from 1 species
GUCUAUGGCCAUGCCACCCUGAAGCUGGAUGCCCGAAGCUACGCAGGGUUGGGCUGGUUAGUACUUGGAUGGGAGACCACCUAGGAAGACCAGGUGCUGUAGGCC